GAUGAACGCUGGCGGCGUGCCUAAUACAUGCAAGUCGAGCGAACGGACGAGAAGCUUGCUUCUCUGAUGUUAGCGGCGGACGGGUGAGUAACACGUGGAUAACCUACCUAUAAGACUGGGAUAACUUCGGGAAACCGUAGCUAAUACCGGAUAAUAUUUUGAACCGCAUGGUUCAAAAGUGAAAGACGGUCUUGCUGUCACUUAUAGAUGGAUCCGCGCUGCAUUAGCUAGUUGGUAAGGUAACGGCUUACCAAGGCAACGAUGCAUAGCCGACCUGAGAGGGUGAUCGGCCACACUGGAACUGAGACACGGUCCAGACUCCUACGGGAGGCAGCAGUAGGGAAUCUUCCGCAAUGGGCGGAAGCCUGACGGAGCAACGCCGCGUGAGGGAUGAAGGUCGUCGGAUCGUAAAACUCUGUUAUUAGGGAAGAACAUAUGUGUAAGUAACUGUGCACAUCUUGACGGUACCUAAUCAGAAAGCCACGGCUAACUACGUG
rnacentral:rRNA from 1 species